ensembl:lncRNA novel transcript, antisense to ZNF497
GGUGGGGCCCCAAGUGUCAAGAAGGUGGAGACUCCAGUUUGUGAGGAACACGAUGGACCCGUCUCCAUUCCUGAAGGCUGGAGGACACCGCCUGACCCAAACACAGCUAUGUCUGCCUCACCCACUCCACCCUGGCCGGAUCCCUGGGUAGUCCCCUCCACACAGUAUGGGCAGCAUGUCCAGGCUGGAGGAUCUCAGUGGCUGUUACCCAGGCAAUGUCCACACCAGGCCUCUGUGCAGUUCUCAGGACACAAUGCGGAGCACACAGGUGUGGACUGGAGAUCUCUGACUCUGCCGUCCAAGCCAAGACCACCAAACUCCCACCUGUCACCAUCACUUUCCCACAGCCCCCAGGCCCUCUCAGCCACCAACCCACGACUGGCCCCAGUGCUGGCUCAGCUGGGGUCGUGAGCAGGGGAAGCACACCCAGCCCCCAGACCAGCCCCCACUCAUCUGGAGUCCUGGCCCAGCUGACUCCUGCUGUAGCCGCUCUGCCAGGGCAGUGGCCUCCUCAGGGCUGCCUAGCCACUGCUCCUGCGUGUAGGCCUGGAUCUCUGGGAGCAGUGUGCCCAAUAACUGCUCCAGCACCAAGAGCUCCAGCAUCUGCUCCUUGGAGCAGGCCUCAGGCAUCAGCCACUGGCAACACAGCUCACGCAGCUGAGCCAGGGCCCCUCGGGGCCCUGCUGCCUUCUCAUAGCAGAACCCCCAGAAGCACUGGCCAGGGCUCUUGGAGCUGGGCUCACCCACCAUCAGUUCCAGUGGACUCGGGAAGACCUGGGGGGCCAGGGCUGAUGCCUCACUCAUCUGGGCAGCCAUCCUGCCCCUUUCCUGGGAGGGGAGUGCAGCUGCAUGGCCCAGGGUACUUUCUCUGCAGCUGGAAACACAAAGGUGAGCCUGUGAGCACAGCAAGGCCACGAAGGUCCCCUCCUUGGGACCACCUGAGACUGAGUAAAAAUGGAAGAAUGGGGGUAUCGGCGUUUCUGGCCCCCAGUGUCAGCAUCUUUGCCCACCUGUGUGUCCAGGUGCCUGAGGGACACACUGAGGUGCCAUGGCUGCUUGUACCAUCCCUUCCCCCCGCCUCCCCGCUUUUCUUGAGGGUCCCUGCCCUGCCCUGUCUCCUUGGCACCCUUCAUCCCACACACAGAACAACUAAG